UGGCGCAGUUGGUAGAGCAUGGCGCUUGCAAUGCCACAGUUAUGGGUUCAAUUCCCAU
rnacentral:tRNA from 1 species